GCCCGUCAGGCAGAGCUGUCAGGUCUCCGGUUCCUCCUCUUUCCUACAGCUGCUGCUGCCUUUCCAUGGAGGCAUGAGUGCUCCGCUCCCCAAAGCCAAUGUGCAGCAGCUUUGGGCGCUCAGAGACCAGAGCUUCUGCCUAAUUAAAAGUUUCCGAUAUGUGUGUUUGGAGAGCAGCACACCACUGGCUCUGCUGUGCCAGUGCUGUAAAAGAUGAAACUCAAAGAAACAGUAGGGGAAAAAUUAAUAUUUUAGUGUGUGCGUGCAGGAGGACCUUCCAGUGCCUGUGUACGUUUUGCCAGGGGAGGAACUACAGUGAAGUGGUCUGAGCUGGGAAGGGGAGGAUGGAACGUGAAUAGAGGCUACAAGCAGCUGGUGCAGGACCCUGGAAAAGAUUUGCCAAGAUGAUGGUGGUGUAAUGUGAAGUUUGGACAGCAGUCCAUCGGUCUUUCCUGCGAGGUCAUCUCUUGCCCUAUAAAAACAAGAAUUUAAUUCCAUAGUGCAUAAGUGCAUACUGCAAAACCUGUCUUUCAUAUUUCUGGAUCCCAUUUACUUUGAUAAAAUGCAUGAGAUACCUGUUAAA